rnacentral:tRNA from 1 species
GGUUGUGGCUCAGUGGUAGAGUGCUUCCCUGGUACAUGUGAAGCACUGGGUUCAUAAGGAUAAAUAAAUAAAAUAAAGGUAUUAUAUCCAUCUACAAUUUAAAAAAUUAAAAUUAAGAAAAAAGAGCUGGAAAUGUAGCUCAGAGGUAGAACACCCUGGGUUCAAUCCACAGUACCACCA